rnacentral:rRNA from 1 species
UACGGGGGGGGCGAAGCGUUGUUCGGAAUUACUGGGCGUAAAGGGUGCGUAGGCGGCUUUGUAAGUCAGUGGUGAAAUACUCUAGCUUAACUAGAGGGGUGCCAUUGAUACUGCGGAGCUUGAGUACAGAUGAGGUAGGCGGAAUUGACGGUGUAGCGGUGAAAUGCAUAGAUAUCGUCAAGAACACCGGUGGCGAAGGCGGCCCACUGGCUCGAUACUGACGCUGAGGUGCGAAAGCGUGGGGAGCAAACAGG